rnacentral:piRNA from 1 species
CAUCUCUGAGCUGCUUCCAGGGAAAUAGC